rnacentral:ncRNA from 16 species
UAUAAUAUAAUUAAGUCAGGUGCGAAACCUAAUAUUGAUUUUUUUCAGCAGCUUAGCGUUUUGUUAAACGGGAAAUAGGUGCAAAACCUAUGCUGCCCCCGCAACGGUAAUCAAUUUUCUUAAAACACUUCGUUUAUAGACAAACUUUACAUUUACACUGGUGUGAUUUAUUCCACUGAUGCGUCGUCCACUGUGGUUAACUGCAUUUUUGCAGGGCUAUGGGAAGGAAUUGUAAAACAUAUUGUGAGCCCGGAUACCGGCCUGUCUUCAAAGCAUGCAA